ACAAUAAUUAUCAUCAACCACUACAACCAACAAAAACCUCCUCCAUAAUUAAAAGAGAUUUUAAGAAGCAUUUGCAAGUGCCCCAUCUCUCUUUUAAGAAAAGGUCUCAAAAAAAGUCUCAAAACCCUUUUCAAUUCACAAUCAAAAAAGACCUUUGUAUCUAUUUUCCUUUCCUCUACAAACCAAAACCCUUAAAUCCUCUUUUUCAUUCAAGCUAA